CUUUUCUGUGACAUGGAGUUGACGGUUGCUGGCUCUGGAAGAUUUGUCCACAGGGAAGAUAAAUAUGAAAGGACUUUGGAAAUGAUUUGCCUGGUAUGUGCUGGAUUUUGCAAGUAAUGGGUCCAAUGGGAACCAAAUGAAGAUGGCGUGAUCUUGGUGCAAUGAGUCAAGAUCCAGGAACCACGAGAUGCCUGGCUGGUUCCAGACCUCCAGUACUCCCACAUCCCUGCUGCCCAUUCUGUGAUCCCUACUCCCAGGGCUGUGAAUUUGUGGAAAAAAGGGAGUGGAGAUUUGUACAUGAAUGUCCAUAGCAGCUUUAUUUGUAACAGCAAAGAUGUGGAAACAGUCCAAACGUCCAUCAA